GGAAAUCCACAUGAUGCAGUGGUGCUUCAUCCAAAGAAUGCUGGACUUAUCCUCAACAGCUUGCUAGAGAAGAGAUGAGCUCUGUGAGCUCUGUGUUUUUAACAAUCUUCUCAUGCCAAAUAAAAGUACAGGGAUCUAUCCUCCAGAAUUUGAUUGAUGACCCAGUAAUCAAGGGAGAGCAGUGUUUUUCAUGUGUGAUUGGCACAAGUUCACUUCGCAGAGCAGCUCAGCUAAAGAAACGAUUCCCUCAACUGGAGUUUGAAAAUAUUAGAGGGAACCUAAACACCCAUCUUAAGAAGCUGGAUGAAAAGGACGACUAUGCUGGUAUUAUUCUGGCCGCAGCAGGCCUCAAACGUAUGGACUGGGAAAGCUAAAUCAGUCAGGUUCUGGACCCUGAAGAUUGCAUUUAUGCAGUUGGCCAGGGAGCACUGGCAGUGGAAGUCAGAGCACAAGAUAAAGACAUUCUGGAAAUAGUGUCUGUCCUGCACCAUUCAGACACAAUGCUGCGGUGCAUCUCGGAGAGAGCUUUUCUCAAGCAGCUGG